rnacentral:rRNA from 1 species
ACGGGUGAGUAACGCGUGGGUAACCUACCCUGUACACACGGAUAACAUACCGAAAGGUAUGCUAAUACGGGAUAAUAUAUUUGAGAGGCAUCUCUUAAAUAUCAAAGGUGAGCCAGUACAGGAUGGACCCGCGUCUGAUUAGCUAGUUGGUAAGGUAACGGCUUACCAAGGCGACGAUCAGUAGCCGACCUGAGAGGGUGAUCGGCCACAUUGGAACUGAGACACGGUCCAAACUCCUACGGGAGGCAGCAGUGGGGAAUAUUGCACGAUGGGCGAAAGCCUGAUGCAGCAACGCCGCGUGAGUGAUGAAGGCCUUCGGGUCGUAAAACUCUGUCCUCAAGGAAGAUAAUGACGGUACUUGAGGAGGAAGCCCCGGCUAACUACGUGCCAGCAGCCGCGGUAAUACGUAGGGGGCUAGCGUUAUCCGGAUUUACUGGGCGUAAAGGGUGCGUAGGCGGUCUUUCAAGUCAGGAGUGAAAGGCUACGGCUCAACCGUAGUAAGCUCUUGAAACUGGGAGACUUGAGUGCAGGAGAGGAGAGUGGAAUUCCUAGUGUAGCGGUGAAAUGCGUAGAUAUUAGGAGGAACACCAGUUGCGAAGGCGGCUCUCUGGACUGUAACUGACGCUGAGGCACGAAAGCGUGGGGAGCAAACAGGAUUAGAUACCCUGGUAGUCCACGCUGUAAACGAUGAGUACUAGGUGUCGGGGGUUACCCCCCUCGGUGCCGCAGCUAACG